rnacentral:tRNA from 3 species
GGGGCUAUAGCUCAGCUGGGAGAGCGUCUCGCUGGCAGCGAGAAGGUCGUCGGUUCGAUCCCGUCUAGCUCCACCA